rnacentral:rRNA from 1 species
GACGAACGCUGGCGGCGUGCUUAACACAUGCAAGUCGAACGGAAAGGCCCUGCUUUUGUGGGGUGCUCGAGUGGCGAACGGGUGAGUAACACGUGAGUAACCUGCCCUUGACUUUGGGAUAACUUCAGGAAACUGGGGCUAAUACCGGAUAGGAGCUCCUGCUGCAUGGUGGGGGUUGGAAAGUUUCGGCGGUUGGGGAUGGACUCGCGGCUUAUCAGCUUGUUGGUGGGGUAGUGGCUUACCAAGGCUUUGACGGGUAGCCGGCCUGAGAGGGUGACCGGCCACAUUGGGACUGAGAUACGGCCCAGACUCCUACGGGAGGCAGCAGUGGGGAAUAUUGCACGAUGGGCGGAAGCCUGAUGCAGCAACGCCGCGUGCGGGAUGACGGCCUUCGGGUUGUAAACCGCUUUCGCCUGUGGCGAAGCGUGAGUGACGGUAAUGGGUAAAGAAGCACCGGCUAACUACGUG